rnacentral:rRNA from 1 species
UACAGAGGUCUCAAGCGUUGUUCGGAUUCAUUGGGCGUAAAGGGUGUGUAGGUGGCGCCGUAAGUCGGGUGUGAAAUUUCGGAGCUUAACUCCGAAACUGCAUUCGAUACUGCGGUGCUUGAGGACUGGAGAGGAGACUGGAAUUCAUGGUGUAGCAGUGAAAUGCGUAAAGAUCAUGAGGAAGACCAGUGGCGAAGGCGGGUCUCUGGACAGUUCCUGACACUGAGACACGAAGGCCAGGGGAGCAAACGGG